rnacentral:tRNA from 1 species
GCCGAAAUAGCUCAGUUGGGAGAGCGUUAGAUUGAAGAUCUAAAGACACCUGGUUCGAAUCUGGGUUCCGGCA